rnacentral:rRNA from 1 species
UAACACAUGCAAGUCGAACGGAGUCAAGAGGAGCUUGCUUUUCUUGACUUAGUGGCGAACGGGUGAGUAACGCGUGAGUAACCUGCCCUGGAGUGGGGGACAACAGUUGGAAACGACUGCUAAUACCGCAUAAGCCCACGGAUCCGCAUGGAUCUGCGGGAAAAGGAUUUAUUCGCUUCAGGAUGGACUCGCGUCCAAUUAGCUAGUUGGUGAGGUAACGGCCCACCAAGGCGACGAUUGGUAGCCGGACUGAGAGGUUGAACGGCCACAUUGGGACUGAGACACGGCCCAGACUCCUACGGGAGGCAGCAGUGGGGGAUAUUGCACAAUGGGGGAAACCCUGAUGCAGCGACGCCGCGUGGAGGAAGAAGGUUUUCGGAUUGUAAACUCCUGUCGUUAGGGACGAUAAUGACGGUACCUAACAAGAAAGCACCGGCUAACUACGUGCCAGCAGCCGCGGUAAAACGUAGGGUGCAAGCGUUGUCCGGAAUUACUGGGUGUAAAGGGAGCGCAGGCGGACCGGCAAGUUGGAAGUGAAAACUAUGGGCUCAACCCAUAAAUUGCUUUCAAAACUGCUGGCCUUGAGUAGUGCAGAGGUAGGUGGAAUUCCCGGUGUAGCGGUGGAAUGCGUAGAUAUCGGGAGGAACACCAGUGGCGAAGGCGACCUACUGGGCACCAACUGACGCUGAGGCUCGAAAGCAUGGGUAGCA